rnacentral:tRNA from 2 species
GGGGGUAUGGCGCAGUUGGGAGCGCGCUUGACUGGCAGUCAAGAGGUCAGGGGUUCAAGUCCCCUUAUCUCCACCA